rnacentral:lncRNA from 1 species
UGUAAUUUACAAACACACAAGCAUAAUCCAAACCUUAGAAUGAACAACUUCCAAUCCACAAAAUCUGAUCAAGACAAUUCCUUCCAUUACAAUUCUUUUCCACUGAACUCUCAACCUUGCAAUAAACAGUGACUAGAAACUUCUAUACAUCAUCAAUCUUUGACAACAAUUGAUAAACAGUGAUCCAUAAAUAACUUCAUAAAUCAAACAUUGAUUCAUUAAAUCGAUUCUCUUCACUAGAAUCAACACUAACACAAAAGAAAUAAGAAAACUAAGAAGAAGAGAUAGCACCAAGCUUAACCAUGGCUCAUGACUAUCACAGUCUAGCCCUCGGCUCAUGACUAUCACAAUCUGGCAUUUUCUUCCUCUCUUCCAUCCUCCUUGUACUACCCCAAGAAACCAACUCCUAUACUAUGGAUGAUAACAACUUUUCCUGACUAUUCAUUCAUUCUACCUAUUGAACCACCUUUUCAGCAAUUAUCUAUCCUUGUUUAUACUAUACAUUAAAUAUCUACAUUCUAAAAAUAACUACUUAUUCUACAUAGCCCUAUUCCUAACUGUGUAGCAUCUCCACAAAUACAGUAUUGAUAAAUAAAAACCAAUCUAUUUAUUUAUUUAUUUAUUUAUUUAUUUAUUUAUUUUUUUUAAACAAGAUUGUUCAAUCUCUAUAAUUUUUGGUGUUGGCUCCAUUUGAUCUUGUUUCAACACUAUAUCUUCUUCCUCCGACUCAUCCUGAAUCUUUGCCCUUAAUUGAACUGUUAAAUCUUCAUUAUACACUCCCAUUUCUCGAACUUGAGCUUCCAAUUGGAGUAUUCUGGCAUCUUUAGCUUCCAAUUGUUGCUGCUGCUAUUCCAAUUUGUGAUUGCUCAUUUUACUUAUUCUAAAUUAAUCUAAUAGAAAUAAAACCGUAUAGGGAGAUUCGAACAUGGAAAAUGACUAGUUGCUUAAGCAUUCAUGUUAGCAUCAUACAAUCAAUUAUCUCUUGAAUGUAUCGUCUCUAUUUCCAAUAUCUGAAUAGACAAGGAAACUAUAA